rnacentral:rRNA from 1 species
AACGAACGCUGGCGGCAUGCCUAACACAUGCAAGUCGAACGAUCCCUUCGGGGAUAGUGGCGCACGGGUGCGUAACGCGUGGGAAUCUGCCCUCAGGUACGGAAUAACUCAGGGAAACUUGAGCUAAUACCGUAUAAUGACUUCGGUCCAAAGAUUUAUCGCCUGGGGAUGAGCCCGCGUCGGAUUAGCUAGUUGGUGAGGUAAAAGCUCACCAAGGCGACGAUCCGUAGCUGGUCUGAGAGGAUGAUCAGCCACACUGGGACUGAGACACGUCCCAGACUCCUACGGGAGGCAGCAGUGGGGAAUAUUGGACAAUGGGCGCAAGCCUGAUCCAGCAAUGCCGCGUGAGUGAUGAAGGCCUUAGGGUUGUAAAGCUCUUUUACCCGGGAAGAUAAUGACUGUACCGGGAGAAUAAGCCCCGGCUAACUCCGUGCCAGCAGCCGCGGUAAUACGGAGGGGGCUAGGCGUUGUUCGGAAUUACUGGGCGUAAAGCGCACGUA